rnacentral:rRNA from 1 species
UACGUAGGUGGCAAGCGUUGUCCGGAUUUACUGGGCGUAAAGAGCGCGCAGGCGGUCCGAUCAGUCGAAUGUGAAAGCCCCCGGCUCAACUGGGGAGGGUCAUUCGAUACUGGCGGACUCGAAGGCAGGAGAGGGAAGCGGAAUUCCCGGUGUAGUGGUGAAAUGCGUAGAUAUCGGGAGGAACACCAGUGGCGAAGGCGGCUUCCUGGCCUGUUCUUGACGCUGAGGCGCGAAAGCUAGGGGAGCAAACGGG